GAUGAAGAACGUAGCAAAAUGCGAUAGUAAUGUGAAUUGCAGAAUUCAGUGAAUCAUCGAAUCUUUGAACGCACAUUGCGCCCGCCAGUAUUCUGGCGGGCAUGCCUGUUCGAGCGUCAUUUCAACCCUCAAGCACAGCUUGGUGUUGGGACUCGCGUUAAUUCGCGUUCCUCAAAUUGAUUGGCGGUCACGUCGAGCUUCCAUAGCGUAGUAGUAAAACCCUCGUUACUGGUAAUCGUCGCGGCCACGCCGUUAAACCCCAACUUCUGAAUGUUGACCUCGGAUCAGGUAGGAAUACCCGCUGAACUUAAGCAUAUCAAUAAGCGGAGGA
rnacentral:misc_RNA from 1 species